rnacentral:rRNA from 1 species
ACCCGCACAAGCGGUGAUGAUGUGGUUUAAUUCGAUGCAACGCGAAAACCUUACCCACCUUUGACAUGGCAGGAAUCCUGAAGAGAUUUGGGAGUGCUCGAAAGAGAACCUGCACACAGGUGCUGCAUGGCUGUCGUCAGCUCGUGUCGUGAGAUGUUGGGUUAAGUCCCGCAACGAGCGCAACCCUUGCCAUUAGUUGCUACGAAAGGGCACUCUAAUGGGACUGCCGGUGACAAACCGGAGGAAGGUGGGGAUGACGUCAAGUCCUCAUGGCCCUUAUAGGUGGGGCUACACACGUCAUACAAUGGCCGGUACAGAGGGUAGCCAACCCGCGAGGGGGAGCCAAUCCCACAAAGCCGGUCGUAGUCCGGAUCGCAGUCUGCAACUCGACUGCGUGAAGUCGGAAUCGCUAGUAAUCGCGGAUCAGCAUGUCGCGGUGAAUACGUUCCCGGGUCUUGU